rnacentral:rRNA from 1 species
GACGAACGCUGGCGGCGUGCUUAACACAUGCAAGUCGAGCGAUGAAGCACCUUCGGGUGUGGAUUAGCGGCGAACGGGUGAGGAACACGUGAGGAAUCUGUCUUCCACUCUGGGAUAACUCCGGGAAACCGGGGCUAAUACCGGAUAUUUUCAACUGGCGGCAUCGCCGGUUGAAGAAAGUUUUUCGGUGGAAGAUGACCUCGCGGCCUAUCAGCUUGUUGGUGAGGUAAAGGCUCACCAAGGCGACGACGGGUAGCCGGCCUGAGAGGGUGACCGGCCACGCUGGGACUGGGACACGGCCCAGACUCCUACGGGAGGCAGCAGUGGGGAAUAUUGGGCAAUGGAGGAAACUCUGGCCCAGCGACGCCGCGUGAGGGAUGAAGGCCUUCGGGUUGUAAACCUCUUUCAGCAGGGAAUAAGCGAAAGUGAAGGUACCUGCAGAAGAAGCACCGGCUAACUACGUGCCAGCCGCCGCAGUAA